UGUCCUUUGCGGGUCUUUUUGCGGUCUGGGCUUGCUGUUCAUAAGGCAGUAGCCAGGAAGCCCUUACCCCAAAAAGUAUCUGCAGAGGACC
rfam:Salmo salar isolate Sally breed double haploid chromosome ssa07, whole genome shotgun sequence.